CUGGUCUGGAGGUGUGAAUCCAGCAGCGUCUCUCACAGUGAGUCCUCACAGACUGCAGCACUUCAGCACAGAGUCACUGUCACUGAGCUGUGAGGGAAACUCUGCUGAGUGGAGAGUGAUGAAGGCUGAUGAAUCUGGCUUCAUGUCAUCCUGUUCUUACUGGGGACAAAUGACUGGAUCCACAUGCAACACCACUAGAGCGAGUAGUGGAGUGUACUGGUGUGAGUCUGCAACACAGUCCAGCAAUGCAGCCAACAUCACUACACACAGUGGUGAUGUCAUCCUGGUGAGUUCUGUCCAUCCUGUGACUGAGGGACAUUCGGUCACUCUUGGCUGCAUGUUGAGGACAAAAGAACAUCUUGAUAAUGUGGAUUUCUAUAAAAAUGACAAACUCCUCCCAAAUGGUGUCGGAGGGGAGCUGCUUAUCUCUGCAGUUACUAAGUCAGAUGAAGGCUUUUAUAAAUGUAGAGGAAGGAAUUCACCUCCAGGUUUGGAGACUUUGACCUCAGCAGAGAGCUGGUUGUCAGUGGAACGUGAGUACGAGUAGAAGAUGUUUUCUUUGUAAUAUGUGUUACAGUCUGAGUUACAAAAGGUGUAACUGAAUUAAACUAUUUGUUUGUGUGAGACAAUAUAGUUUUGUACAUU